rnacentral:lncRNA from 1 species
UGGAAAUUUAAAAAAUAUAUAUGAGAGAAUAUAAGCAAAUCGAUGUAGGAGUUUAUUUUUGGAGAAUGAGAAUUUGUAGUGAAGAAGCUUUAAUAUAUUAAUGUGUAUGUGUGUGGACGUGUAAAAAGAGCUUGACUUCUUAAACUUUUAAUUCAACUUUUCUUCACACCUUAUCUCUCACUCAACAAGUAUUACAUAUGUAUAUAUAGUGGAAAAGGUCGGUUAAUCCACUUAACCGACUUAAGUUGGUAAAAGCUUAGCUUAUUCUAGAUAAUUCCUAAUCUAGACAAUUCCACACAUGCUCAUUUCCUAUUUCUUUAUUUUCUUUAAUCCUUCUCUUAUAUUCUAGACAUUUCUACACAAAUAUCUUCAUUUAAAAAUCAAGUUUAUUGUUUGAUAUUCCAACA